rnacentral:rRNA from 1 species
GACAACGCUGGCGGCGUAGCUUAACACAUGCAAGUCGAACGGGUCCAUGAGAGCUUGCUCUCGGAAGACCUAGUGGCGAACGGGUGAGUAACACGUGAGAAACCUGCCUCGGAGUGGGGAAUAACUCGAGGAAACUCGAGCUAAUACCGCAUACCUUCAUUUGACCGCAUGGUCAGUUGAAGAAAGAUUUAUCGCUCUGAGAGGGUCUCGCGGCCUAUCAGCUUGUUGUGGGGUAACGGCCUACCAAGGCAACGACGGGUAGCUGGAUUGAGAGAUCGACCAGCCACACUGGAACUGAGACACGGUCCAGACUCCUACGGGAGGCAGCAGUGGGGAAUCUUGCGCAAUGGGCGAAAGCCUGACGCAGCAACGCCGCGUGCGGGAUGAAGGCCUUCGUGGUUGUAAACCGCUUUCAGUAGGGACGAAAAUGACGGUACCUGCAGAAGAAGCUCCGGCUAACUACGUG